UACGCAGGGGGCAAGCGUUGUCCGGAUUUAUUGGGCGUAAAGAGCGUGUAGGCGGCCAUACAGGUCAGCUGUGAAAACUCGAGGCUCAACCUCGAGACGUCGGUUGAAACCGUUUGGCUAGAGUCCGGAAGAGGAGAGUGGAAUUCCCGGUGUAGCGGUGAAAUGCGCAGAUAUCGGGAAGAACACCCGUGGCGAAGGCGGCUCUCUGGGACGGUACUGACGCUGAGACGCGAAAGCGUGGGGAGCGAACAGG
rnacentral:rRNA from 1 species